AUGGGGAUGGCUGUACUUGACGAGGCCCAGCGGCGACGGCGGCAGAGCGUCUACGAGUUCUUGGACGCCACCAAGCCCGCGUGCGCCCAGGCGCUGCGAUGGUGCGAGACGGCGCGGGAGAUGCGUAGGAUCGACGGCGACAUGAAGGAGGCGGCCCAGCUGCUCCGCGGCGCCCUCUCCUGCGUCAAGGACUACGCGUCUGUCUACAGGACGUGGAUCGCCAUGGAGAUGGACGGCGGCGGCGGCGUCGGCGUUGCCCGGUGGCUCUUCGAGGAGUGGGGCACCGUCUGCGCCAAGGAUGGAAUCCUCCGCAAGGACGACGACGGCACCACCGCCGACGAGUACGGCGACUACUGGUGCGCGUACCUCGCGUUCGAGCUCCGUCACGGGGACGCCAGGCGCGCGCGCACCUGGCGGCACGGGCCGUGA
rnacentral:rRNA from 1 species